rnacentral:rRNA from 1 species
CCUACGGGAGGCAGCAGUGGGGAAUAUUGCGCAAUGGGCGAAAGCCUGACGCAGCGACGCCGCGUGAGGGAUGAAGGUCUUCGGAUCGUAAACCUCUGUCAGCAGGGAAGAACGGUCACUGUGCUAAUCAGCAGUGACUUGACGGUACCUGCACAGGAAGCACCGGCUAACUACGUGCCAGCAGCCGCGGUAGUACGGAGGGUGCGAGCGCUAAUCGGAAUUUCUGGGCGUAAAGCGCUCGUAGGCGGUACGGAAAGUCAAGGGUGAAAUCCCCGCGCUCAACGGGGGAACUGCCUUUGAAACUGGCAAACUGGAGUGUGUGAGAGGAUAGUGGAAUUCCAGGUGUAGGAGUGAAAUCCGUAGAUAUCUGGAGGAACAUCAGUGGCGAAGGCGACUAUCUGGCACAUAACUGACGCUGAGGAGCGAAAGCGUGGGUAGCAAACAGGAUUAGAUACCCGGGUAGUC